UCCAAACUGUUGGUUAAUUUCUCCAUUCUCGGUGGCUAUGUUGUCAGGCCAAGCUGCAAGGAUGUGAACUCCCGGAGCAGCAACAUCCGGCUUCGAGCAUGGAACAAGAAAAGAAAGCAGAGAACAAAGGUCCUCUUGCUGAGAAAUACGGAAUGACUGGUGCGCUUGAAGUUGGCAGUCCUUGGCUGGGCUGAGAAAAUUCCAAGUAAACAUGCUGAAAUUUUUUUCAAAGUGAAAAGCUUGCUACUAUACCGAUUCUGAUGUCAAA